CAGCCGCCGCGGUAAUACGGAGGGUCCAAGCGUUAUCCGGAUUCAUUGGGUUUAAAGGGUACGUAGGCGGAGCUUUAAGUCAGUAGUGAAAGCCCAUCGCUCAACGAUGGAACUGCUAUUGAUACUGGAACUCUUGAAUAUAGUUGAAGUAGGCGGAGUACGGCAUGUAGCGGUGGAAUGCAUAGAUAUGCCGUGGAACACCAAUCGCGAAGGCAGCUUACUAAGCUAUUAUUGACGCUAAUGUACGAAAGCGUGGGGAGCGAACAGGAUUAGAUACCCUGGUAGUCCACGCUGUAAACGAUGAUUACUCGGUGUCGGCGAUAUACUGUCGGUGCCUAAGCGAAAGUGGUAAGUAAUCCACCUGGGGAGUACGAUCGCAAGGUUGAAACUCAAAGGAAUUGACGGGGGCCCGCACAAGCGGUGGAGCAUGUGGUUUAAUUCGAUGAUACGCGAGGAACCUUACCUGGGCUUAAAUGCAUAAUGACAGGCUGAGAAAUCAGUUUUUCUUCGGACAGAAUGCAAGGUGCUGCAUGGCUGUCGUCAGCUCGUGCUGUGAGGUGUCGGGUUAAGUCCCAUAACGAGCGCAACCCCUAUUGCUAGUUGCCAGCACAUAAUGGUGGGGACUCUAGCAAAACUGCCCGCGCAAGCGGUGAGGAAGGUGGGGACGACGUCAAGUCAUCACGGCCCUUACGUCCAGGGCUACACACGUGCUACAAUGGUAGAGACAGAGGGCAGCCACUUGGUGACAAGGAGCUAAUCCUUAAACUCUAUCUCAGUUCGGAUUGAAGUCUGCAACUCGACUUCAUGAAGCUGGAAUCGCUAGUAAUCGGAUAUCAGCCACGAUCCGGUGAAUACGUUCCCGGGCCUUGCACACACCGCCCGU
rnacentral:rRNA from 1 species